GGUGUUAAAAAUCCACUGUGUACCAUAGUCAGGGAUGUUUAUGGUCAAGAGAAAAGAUCCUUUCUUCUCAAUCCUGUCACUUGGAGCUUUUGUAUAUUUUUGAAAGAAAGUUAGCAUACCUUUUUAUCCUCAUAGGUUCUCUCAGAUCACUCAUUAUCUUUUAUAUAUCUCACUGAGGUUGUUUUAUUUUGCAAAAAUUCUCAAGCACUCUUACUUUGCAUUUAUUGCCUGAUCAAAACGGGAUCCGAGGAGGGGAAUGUCAUACUCUUAGAUCAAACACUUUGAAAAUUAAAAACUUUGUCAACUCUUGCUGGCAUAUUGCUUAUUAGAGGGACCAUGGGCUAUUAUUUUUUUUAAGUGGAUACCGAGGUAUCCCUAAUUCUAGUGCCGGGCACUUGUCCAUUUUUUUCUGUGAGGUUAUCGAGCACUUGCUCCUUUUUAUUUCCUCGAAAUAUUUCUAUUUUUUCAUAGCCCAUGCCUCUAAUGCAAUAAUACUUCGGAAGAGUGAAUCUUACUGAAAUAAUGUAUUGAUCUUAGGAGCAUGAUAAAUCUCUCAACAAGGGUCUAACUCAUUUUGAACAAACUCAAUACAGAGCAGAUAGCUUUUAUAAUCAUUAUUAAUAUUUUUAGUUUUAUCAGGCAUAUAAAACACUGAGGAUGGUA
rnacentral:lncRNA from 1 species